GACCAUUUUACACCACUCUCCCUUUCCACACCUUGUUAUUGUUGUGAAUUUGUUUCAGUCAGAUGUGCAAGACCGGUCCAGUAUGUGUCAUACGAUGCACCUUACUGUGACUAAUUUGCUUUUAACUUUUCUUUGCAUGAUUUUUUUUCUCUCAAAGCAGUUGGAAUACAAAUGUUUAAGCUUAUUUAUUUUUUGGCUCAGAAGACUAUGAGCCUUGUUUAUUGUUUGUGAUUUUGUUCUUGUGGGCCAUCAUACACAAGAAAAUUAAACCUUCCCACCUCAAAGUAGCUAGAUCUUAAUUGUUUCUGGUAUCUUUUCAUUUAUUACUUUAUGCAUAUAUAAUACUCUUAAGUUAAAUGUGCUCGAGCUAC
rnacentral:misc_RNA from 1 species